rnacentral:rRNA from 1 species
UACGUAGGUGGCAAGCGUUAUCCGGAUUUAUUGGGUGUAAAGGGCGUGUAGGCGGGAGCGCAAGUCAGAUGUGAAAACUCAGGGCUCAACCCUGAGCCUGCAUUUGAAACUGUGUUUCUUGAGUGCUGGAGAGGCAAUCGGAAUUCCGUGUGUAGGAGUGAAAUCCGUAGAUAUCUGGAGGAACAUCAGUGGCGAAGGCGGCUUACUGGACUGUAACUGACGUUGAGGCUCGAAAGCGUGGGGAGCAAACAGG